GAGGUACGCGGAAGGGCCCUAUGGUCGCCC
rnacentral:sRNA from 1 species